GUCUGCUUGGGUAGUCAUAUAGGAUGAUGUCCAGCUGAACUAUCUGUCAUCUCUAUCUUGUUACCAGUCGUGAUGCUGAUGCCCAUCAGUGCCUGCUACCCUAAAGACAGGCUGAUGUGUUCAGCACACCACUAGGACCUGAUGGAGUCAAAUGGAGGCUCAAUGAGAUAUGAACUACAAACAAACAUCUGUCAAGUUUCAAUCUCUAAAUGUAACUGUUGCA